rnacentral:misc_RNA from 1 species
GCGCACUGUUUGCCAUCUGGG